AAAUAACAAAAUCUUUGAAUAGCAUGUACAAGAGCAAAGAUCAAAUCCACUUCAUCAAGGAAGCUCGCAUGCGUGGGCAGAAAGGCAUCCAAUUUAAUAUACAUCUCUCUUUCCAAUAUCUCAUGCAAAAUUAGAGAUUAUUGCUCCAAUAAAAUCAGAUGACUUCAUACUAUUUGCACUGAUGAAGGAAGAAACAAAAGCCUAAAAUCCCUACGGAAAUUCUAUGACCACAUAAAUAUUAGACAUUAAACAAAUAUAUCAAGUUAUAGGUUUCAUGUACAAGAACAAGCAGUCUAUUUCCAGCUUUCAUUCCCCAAAAUUUUCAUUUGGAAGAAACCAUCUGAUCAAUUUCACCAUUUUGGUUGUACAU
rnacentral:lncRNA from 1 species